rnacentral:rRNA from 1 species
CCUACGGGAGGCAGCAGUGAGGAAUAUUGGUCAAUGGGCGCGAGCCUGAACCAGCCAAGUAGCGUGAAGGAUGACUGCCCUACGGGUUGUAAACUUCUUUUAUAAAGGAAUAAAGUGAGGCACGUGUGCCUUUUUGUAUGUACUUUAUGAAUAAGGAUCGGCUAACUCCGUGCCAGCAGCCUCGGUAAUACGGAGGAUCCGGGCGUUAUCCGGAUUUAUUGGGUUUAAAGGGCGCGUCGAUGGGUUGUCAAGUCAGUGGUGAAAUUUUGCGGCUCACCCGGAAAAUUGCAGUUGAUACUGGCAGUCUCGAGUACAGUUGAGGUAGGCGGAAUUCGUGGUGUAGCGGUGAAAUGCUUAGAUAUCACGAAGAACUCCGAUUGCGAAGGCAGCCUACUA